rnacentral:lncRNA from 1 species
UUCGGGUUCAGGUGCCUUAAUAACAUCCUUUCAUCUUUCAGUCGUUGCGCAGUUUCUGAAUUCUAUCUGCUCUUUUCUCUUUCUGUCUUUUUUCUAUUCUUCUUGUCCUCUGCCGCCUUUGCUUUUUUUUGUCAUCAUUAUCUGGACAUCUCCUUUCUUUCCUUUCCCGUGAAUAUCUUUUAAGAAUCUGACAUCACUGGCUUAGAGUCUAGUGUAGCUCUGCCCCGUGCUAAGUCCUCAGGCUCCGAGUAUAUAUCAGCGCCAGCUUUUCUUCAUUCUUGAGCCUUCUGUUGAAAUGAGAAAUUCUUGUUUUAUCUGUGGCAGAUCUAUUCGACGCCUUCUUCAAACAGAUUGCCUUGUGCCCCAGAGGUUUGCUUUGAUUUUGCUCUUAUCAUCUUAAGGGAGAAUUGUUUCUGACUUGUCUCUGUUUUGAAACUUUUUGCAGUUCCUGAAAUAAAAAUGGGUCAGUUCAAAAUUCUUGAAAAUUUGAUGUUACCUCUAAGGCGUCUGGAUGGUGCAUUGAAGAUCCUUCUGGUAUGGCAGUCGAAGGGUGGGACCAUUCGGCAAGCUGCUAAAACUGCUUUACCUAGGUCGUCUGGCCGGCCUCCUCCUCUGCUUGUUGUCCGGGCUCCAAAGAAGUUC